AUCCAGCUGACGAGUCCUGAAUAGGAUGAAGCAUGCGUCCUGGAU
rnacentral:hammerhead_ribozyme from 1 species